rnacentral:rRNA from 1 species
UACGAGGGGUGCAAGCGUUAUUCGGAAUCAUUGGGCGUAAAGGGUACGUAGGCGGCGCACUAAGUCAACCGUUAAAUCUUCUGGCCUAACUGGAAGCUUGCGGUAGAUACUGAUGCGCUAGAGGGUGAGAGAGAGAAGUGGAAUUCUCGGAGUAGCGGUAAAAUGCGUGGAUCUCGAGAGGAACACCAAUGGCGAAGGCAGCUUCUUGGCUCAUUCCUGACGCUGAGGUACGAAAGCGUGGGGAGCAAACAGGAUUAGAUACCCCCGUA